ACGGGAUCUGAACCAGAUCACCAUGAAGAGAAGAAGAAUCCUUCUUCUUCUCUUCUUCUAUCUCUUUUUCUCUCUUAGGUCUGAUCAUCUAUCAGAUCUGGGUGUUGCGGAUGAAGGAAGAAAAGAGGAGGCAUUGGAAGAAAGUUGUUUUUGUGAUGUAAGAAAGAAACUGCCUCUCUUCUUUUCACGUCAAAAUCCUCAUGCCACAAUUUUUUUUUUUUUCACACAAAAACUUUUUCCAUCCCCUUCCAACCAC
rnacentral:lncRNA from 1 species